CACCCCACAUCCCCUAAAUCUUUAUUAAGAUCAUGUGCAUAAAAAGGCCUCGACACCACAAUUGGGAAGGGGAUAAUUGGGGUCGGAAAACGAGAUUCUUUUAUUUAUACGAGCGUAUUCCUAUAAGCAAGUGACUUGCCUGCUUUGUUCAAAGUCGUGAGACACCUAUAAGUUUGGGGGGAACGGCAUGAGAGUAAUGCUUGUGUGUAGUAGCGUAUAAGUUAAAAACUUUCUUCGUUUGGAAAGUUUGAAUCACCAUUAGAUUCCUCAACGGUCACUACACUCACGAGGAGAGAAAAGACACUUACUUGUUCGUUGACCAUUACAUUAAUCAAGCCUCUUCGUAUGUCUCAAAUACAGCAUUCCAGAAAAAAUACACCAGUGCUAUUCUGGUGUUUAAUUGUCUUUAUUGGAUUGACGUAGGGAAAAGCAUAAAAUUUUUUUUCACCAUAUUAGCGAGGAAACCAUGAAAUCUAUAAAAAUGUAUCCCAAACACUUUUGCAAUUUUUGCUUGUUUUUGUGAUCGUUAAGACUGUCAUUUUUCCCGCUUAAAAAGGCUCAAAAAGUGUUUAUUGAUUAUAUGAAAUUUUGGACUUGUUCGACCCAUGAUGGAGGGAAAGCUCUUGAAAGCUAGAAAAAAUUGGUACUCGACUUUUCUAGUGCUUGCUCUGAUUCCUAUAAUUCUAUUUGAGACAAUUGAAAUGAUAUAAUGAUCAAAAAGGUUUUGUUGAACAAUAAAAAGCAAAAAAUUGCUUUCCAUGUGUUAAAAGAAGCCGAGAAGGCUGCGAAAAUUUAGUCGGACCUUUUCAGUUUUCGCGUGUAUAUUUACACUCUUUGAGACAAUCGGAGUUCUAAAAAAGGACCAAAUUUAUAGACUACUUGCAUUGUAUCACUUAAAUCAAAAAUUCGCUCCCUCGUUCUCUGUGCUAACCGUUCAUAAGAAGUUCAUCUUUUUCCUGCUAUACCUAUAAAGAUUAGACGAUGCUUAUUCUCAUGGAUAUCCGCAGCCCUUCCAAAUCAGCAUGCAAACAUCCACUACCCUUACCAUUCUUUUGAAUCGCUUGCCUUUUAAACGAGUAUUGAGAUGGAAUAAUAUUCUCUACAUGCUCGCUUCUGCGUCCUGAUAUUUGAAAUGAUUUGUUGGAUUAUUCUGAGACUUCUUAUUACAAUUGGAUACUUUAGAAGUAUCCAAUUAAUUUGUUUUAGAAAAAGUGAUAAUCAUUUGGGAGUUGUGCUAUUAUAAAAGAAAGAGAUUCUUUGCUUAGUGUUGUGCUCUAAGCAAAUUGAAAAAGCUGAAAUGGCCAGGGGCUGCUAGUUUCUUGUAUGCAGCAAAGUUGCACCACCUUAUGCGAGAUUUACUGACUUUCCGAUCGGAAUUUUUAGGAACACUUUGGUCUCGAUUAUCGCUAUCUUUGUAACUGUCUAACAAACAUUUCUGUUUUUUUAACAAGGUUGCGACAAUUCUUUUUGCAUUGGUUGCAUUCCUGUUGACCAAUGCAUUUACUUUUUCGCGCAAAAUCUAAAUCCGAGUAUUGUAAAUUCACUUGCUAAGCCGUUGUCUAUUGUUUUUAUUCGCAUUAAAUUUGCAGUUUAAUUGCCUUAUAUCCCUAAUUUGCGUCUUUUAGUAAGACCCACGCCAUUCUUUUUGCAAUAUUUUAUUUUCUAUUUUCGUUCCCAUUAAAUAAUGUUAAACUGCCCUACGAAAUUUCCAAUUUGUUUUCCCAGCAUCCAGAUGCCUCUACUUAAUACUUUUAUCACCUUUCGUCAGUUGUUUUGUACCUGAAAGACAUAGCCUUACGUUACUUGUGAUCAUCUUUUUGGUAAUUAUCCCACAGGGUAAAAAGUUUGCAUAAUUGUCGCUUUACGACAAUUUAUUACUUUUGUUUGUUCUGGAAGUCUUUAUAAUUGUUCUAAGUUAAGCCGGUGGUCGCAACAGACGUUUUAAUUGGAUAAUGCGAGGUUUUAUUCCCAAAAUACAAACAGACUUGUCUGUCAUAAAAUAAGUUAAAAUGAUUUGUCAAAUAGAGGAUCAAUUCUCAAAUAUUUGCCAAAUCAGUCUCUAAUUUAUUUGAAGUGAGAAACUUGAUUGCCUAUGUCAGCAUCCCACGAUGGUCAUUUUUGAUACAGCGACUGAGUUUUAUGCGGUUGAUUCAUGUUCCAUCGUUUGCAUAACAUUGGUAAUCUUUUAUAUCUUCUUCAUCUUCUUAUACUAAAGAAUUUCAUUUAUUUGUUUGGAUGUCCUAAGCCACGUAUAUAAUAAUAUGUUACAGAAACUCAGGUUUCUGUUAACAUAAUUUCGCAUGAAGCCAAAUUCCUAUUCCACCUUCUUUGAAGAGUGCUACCAUGCUCAUUCCGCCAUAUAAAAUUAGCUGCUGCAUUACUCCCCUGCAUCUUACCUUUGAAGCUGGACGGUUAUCGCUACGCUACACUUACACACCGACAUACUAACAAACACUUAAACAUUACUCUGUAAAACUACACGGAAAGUUCGAAUUUCUCAUGUUAUUGUUGAAAACUGUAAUUAGGGGUUUGAAAAAGGUUCUGUGAAUCGUCAAACGUUCUUGAUUAAAAAGGAGAAACCGUGAAAAAUCUAGCAAAAAAUCGAGUCAAACACACGAAAAUAAACCAUGUAUAACCUUGAAAACGAAUGAGAAACGUCUAAUUAGAAAUUAGCGGCUCCAAAAAAAAAUUUGAAUGCGAACAUAAAGGUUGGUCCGCGAAUGUUACAUGUUGGUGAAUUAAUUAAUGAAGUGGAAGGAGGUGGUUAAAACAAAAUCACGAAAAAACUUAGUCCACUUGAAUAGACAAAAUGCGUGCCUGAAUAAAUAAGUGAUAAACUGCCCGCAGUUUGCAAAUAAAUAUUUAAACCGAAAAUCACCAUCUUGAAUUCAUAACAGGGAGGAUCCAAAAUACCGAAGAUGGAAGUUAACAAAGUUAAACCAUUGGCACAUCUGAAAUGUUCAGGUAUUUGUAUUUGCUAGCGUCUGAAAUCAUGCUAGGUUUGUAGUUCACAUUGAAUCCAUAAGCUAUCGGUAGGUGUCCAUUUUAUUGAACAACAUUCCAAACUUCAAUUAUUGCUAGGUCAGUAAUUUCGUUCGCGUAAUUCAACUAUAACGAUAAAUUGAUAGACCUAGUAUUAACAAUUGUUUACUGGAAUGCGAUGUAAGUCAAAUUAAAAAAAUGGGCAUCGCACAGCUUGGCAGUAAACUAUUGGUGCUUGGAUUGCUCCAAAUCAUAUGCAGUUUGAGUAAGAAAACGAUUGUAAGGAUUUGAUCGAGAUGUAUGCCAACUAAAAUUAUUACUUGUAUACGAUUCAUUAGAUCCAGGGAGGACACAUGAUGAAGACAUUUGAAAGGGAGAUUGACUUCUAUGAUAUUCUUUAGUAUUUGACAUCACUGAGUGAAUGUGGACUAAUGGAAGCUACGUCUUGGAAGGAUGAUUCAGCUUCUUGAUUCGUUAAGGAAGGAGAGCGAUCAUAUGCCAAAAAUGGAGUAUUCGCAAUGGUAUGUUGAGAAGUCUCACAACUGCUACCCGAAUACGCAGUAGGCGGAAUAGGUGAGCCUUGUUUAACAUCAAACAUCUCAGGCGUUAGCUGUGGAUUUGGAUGUUCAUAGAGAAAAGGAGGGCAAGCCGGGUUACCAGGAGAGACAUUUUUUAAGGUGUAUUGAUUAGGUGAAGAAAGAUAACUUGCUGGAGGCAUAAGGACCUUCUGAUCAUAGGUGGACUGGUCUUGUUGCAGUACAUGAGUACCCAGAUAAGUUGGAACUUGUUUCAAAGAAGGAGACGUAGCUCUUUGUGGAUAGUAGUAAGGAGCGAAGUGCGUUUGCCUACGAUGACCAGGAAAGCCGUUAUCACUAGGGUACGGAGAAUGAUGUUGCAAUGGAACUGUAGCACCCGGAGACACAGGAGAUUGGAAACAAUAGGGCGGUGGAUAGUUAUUGUUAUGAAAAUGAGGAUGAGGUGGAUGAUGAGGAGGACGAGUAUGGGGAUGAUGAUGUUGUGUGGGAGGAAAUGGAGGACAAGAACGAACGUGAUUAGACGAUAAAGGCUCGGGACGACAGUAAGACUGAACUUGAGGAUUAUAGUCCUGAACAGUCGUUUCCGAUGUUGCAGGAGAAUCACCAGUGUCGAGUUGGGAGUCUGAUAAAGGUUGGUCCUGUGACUUCAAAUGCUUAUUAUUAAGAGGAGUAAAUGAACCAGUUGUCGUUUCUGGAGACACGGUACUUGACUCUUCGACAGGCGAUGACGAAAAAUGAGAACGGUUUUUUAACUCAUAUAUGCUGAGAGUGUUGAGUUGUUGAAGAGUACGUUGAUAGUCAGAGGAACAAAAGACGUGCAAACGUCCUUUCCGAUCAAUGACUGUGACGGCGACUUCACAAUCGGCUAGCACAGCGAGUUCAUACGCCUUUUUGUAGAGACCUUGUUUUCGUUUGACAAAAGUUACGCUCCUUGAACGAUCGUCGGUUAUGGGUGCAAUGGAGAUUUUUUUGCGCCCCAUAUUAGACGUUGUAUAUAUUUAGUAAGGUUUGACGAGAAAAGAGAAAAAGAGUCGACGAGGUUAACCAAAAUUCAGGUAUAGGGAGAAUGACGAAAACAAACGAGCAAACGAGCGAGCAAACGGGCAAGUAUAUAAGGAACAAAUAGAAAACAGCAGAUGGGGUUUAUUCUUGGAAUUUAUGUAACAGUUUUUAUCCCUGUCUUCCCUUCUCUGCACCGGAUCUCUUGAGGGUAGAUUUUUCGCUUGAGAAAACAAGAGCGCAAAGUUCUCCAAUUGUGCUCGUAAUUGAUAGUCGAUUAGACGAAUCUAAGUUGAGAUUUAAAAACGAGGAAGCUAUUUUUGUUUUUGUACUCUGGGUUGAAGCGGGCGACGAAACUAAAGAUAUUAAUAGAAAAAAUUUUUUUAGUAAACAAGAUAGCCGGAACGGGUGGUUUUCAAGUGUUUACAAAUGAGAGGAACAAAGACAAAUUAAAUGACUAGAUGUUUUUGUGUGCUAUUUUUAAAAUAGAAAGAGGAAGAAUCAACACUUUGGAGAAAUUUUUGCCUUUGAAGCUAUAUUUUUAACAAUUGUCCCCUCCUUUUCAAUGUCAGGUUUAAAAAUAUCUUCUCGCCAAG